rnacentral:lncRNA from 1 species
UGAGCCACUGUGCUUGGCCCAUCUCUUUUUUUCUUAAUCAAUCUUGCAAAGGAUUUGUCCAUUUUAUUAAAUUUUUCCAAAAACUUCUUUUUGGUGUUUACUAACCUCUAUGAUUACAUUUAUUUAUAUCUGUUCCUGUCUUUAUCAUUUCUUGUAUCGAUCUUCUGUGGGUUUAAUUGGCCAUUCUUUUUCUAGCUUCUUUUAAUUGACAUUUAGAGAACUGAUUUUCUUCCUUCCUUCUUUGCUAAUAUAAUCAUUUAAAGUUAUAAUUUUUAUUUAAGAACUAUUUCAGCUGCAUACCACAGGUUUGGAUAUGUAUCUUUUCCCACCAAUUCAAAAUAGGUUUUUCAUAUCCAAUUCAAAAUAUUUUAUAAUUUUCAUUGUGACUUCUUCGACUCAUGGUUUAUUUAUAAGUGUGUGGUUUAAUUCCUAAAUAUUUGAGUAUUUUAAAAAGCUAUACUCCUGUAAGUGAUUUAUAGUUUAAUUCCACUGUAUCCAGAAAUAUACUUUUAUAUGAGUUCAAUCUUUUGAAAUUUGUUAAGAUUUUAUUUUAUGAUCCAGUUUAUGAUUUAGAAUGGUAAAUGUAUUAUGUGCACUAGAAAUAAUGUGGUUUUUACAGUUGAUUAGUGUAUCAUUAGGUCAGGAUAUGAAUCUUCUUUGUAUUUUCUGUAUUCUCACUAAUAUUUUGCCCUUUUAGAAGGAAAUAACAAAGAUCAGAAUAGAAAUAAAUGACAUAGAGAGUAGAAAAGCAAAUAGAUCAAUGAAACUCAAAAGUUAAUUUUUGUGAAAUGAUACAAUUUCCAAACUUUAGCUAAAAUAACUAAGAAAAAUACAGAGAAGACUCAAAAUCAGAAAUGAGAGGAGACACGACAACUGAUAACAUACAAGUACAAAGGAUCAUAAGAGCUACAUUCCUUUGUGUUACAUUGUUUUCUCUUUACAUUCUGAUUGUCUCUCGCUUGCUCGCUGUCUUCUUUUAAAGUUUUGUUUCAGAAGAACUAAAAAAAUCUAGGUUUAAAAUGUACAGAUAUCCUUUGUAACUUAGCAUUAGGCAAAAUUGUCUUAGAGAACUCAAUUACUUUUCAAGUAAAAAAUGAUAAAUUGAAUUUCAUCAAAAUUAAAGAUUAACUCAGUUUGUUAAACAUUAGGAAAACAGGCAAACCAUGACUAGGAGAAAAAUAUUUGCAAAUAUUGGCCUGCAUCUGUCAAAGGAUACAUAGGAUACAGAAACAACUGCUAUAAGCCAGCAAUAAAAAGACAGAACUGGGAAGGGAUGGCCAGGGACCAAAGGAGAAGAAAUGAAACACAGGAUAGACCACCUUCAGUGUCCUUGGUCAGGAAUUCCCAUUCCUUAAUGUUGUGGGCUAAAUAGUGUCGCAAAAAAAAAAAAAAAAAAAAAAAAUCUAUGCAAGUCCUAACCACCAGGACUUAUGAAUGCACCCUUAUGUGGAAUUAGGGUCUUUACAGUUAUGAUAAAGACAAGGCGAGGCCACACUGGAUUAGAGCAGGCCCUAAUCCACUGACUGGUGUCCUUCUAAGAAGAGGGAAAUUUGGACACGCAGUCACACAAGGAGAAUGCUGUGUGAUGAAGAAGGCAGAGAGUGGAGUGACACAUCUUUAAGACAAAGACUGCCAAAGAUUGUGGACAAUACUGGUAUCAGAAACUUCUGCCAACUUCUUCUGAAACGUCUGCCUACAAACUUGUUUUCUACUAAAAUCGUCCAUUCUAUGAGAAAACACAGAAUAUGAUGAACCAUUCAGCCAGGAAACUGCUGCUAAUUCCUCAGGGCUGUUUACCUAUGAUGGCCUAUAUCAGAAGCUAGGAGUGAGGCAUAGAAUAAUAUUCCUCAGAGCCUCCAGUAGGAACCAACCCUAGUGACACCUUGCUCUCAGACUUCUAGCCUCCAGCACUGUGUAAGAAUAAAUUUAUGUUGUUUUAAGCCACCCAGUUUGUGGUAGUUUAUUAUGGAAGCCCUAGAAAACAAAUACACUUGGCAGUGGAGACUCCUGUUGUGUAUACUACAGUAGACUGAAUUGUUCCCUGGAAAACAUCCUUCUGAGCUUCAGUCUUAUGAUUGGGAAGACAGAAAAACAGAGAGAGAGAGAGAGAGAGAGAAUGAAUGAAUGAAUGAAUUGAGAUAUUUUCAUGUGCUUUCCAGGACCUCCAUAAAAAGUCACUCUGCGGUCUGGGCUCACAUCCCCACUGGGGGAUUCAUGAGGAGGGAGUGGGCUACUGUAGUGUGUGUGAUUCAAAGGCUGGGUCCUGCUACAUUUAUGAGAAUAAUGAUGGCUUCGACGUUGACCUCACAGGAAGGUGUCUCCACAGUACUGAAGGCCAAUCUGGGCAAGGAGCUGCAGGCCACCCUCAGGCAGACACCAGGCUUUUAGCUAAGGGUGAGGGGGAACUUCGGAGCCCAAUGAGCCCAUGUAACCCACAGCAGGACUUUGUCACUGCAACCAAAGUGAGUAGCGGGGAGCUGGCUGGGAGAGGACCAGGAGUGAGCUAGGUGUGUGUACAGGUUGGGUGCCAUGUGAUUUAAAUCUUUACAGGAGAAUCAGAGUGGAACAAGAGGUGAAGAAAAACUUGUAGAAGGGGUUUCUGAGUACCUUUUAUGUGCCAUAUUUUGUACUUAGAAACUUUGCACCAUGACCUCAUAAAACAUCAUUUUACAAAAGAGGAAAAGAGAAUCUAAGAGGUUGGGACACUCGCAGCGAGCUCACAGUUCACGUGAGGUAGCUUUAGAAAGUUGAAAAUUCACAACUGUCUCACUCAAAACUCAUGUCAUCAAGCAUAUUCUCCAUGUGUUAAUCCAUACUCUAGGUCAUAAAUUGGUUCAAGCAAUUCCUCUUGUUCUUCUCUCCCAGUUUCUGGCCAGUGUUACAUAACCUAGCUCUUCCUUUCAGACUUGCCUCCCCUUAUCAUCCCACCUCAAGAGGCAUCACUUAGAGAUGCCAAAAGAAGAAACUGCUGAGGACAGGCAACCACUUUCACAUGGAAGGACAGAAUGAUACAUAAAACAAAGAUGAUGAGGCAGUACCAUACCCUUCCUUACACACACACAAGCACACAUACAAGAAACACCCAAGAGACACACAAAAUAAACAUGUAUACAGCAAACAUACAAACACUCAUAGAUGCAUAGAAGCCAGACUCUAAUCAAAGGCCUGACUGUGAUCCCUCUCUUCUCCAGCUCUGAUCUUGCAGGAAUCCAUGAUCAUGGAGGGAAAUAGGACCUUUGCCAGCAACAGGCAGUCAUUUGGCCGCCCACUGUGAACUCUGUGUCCAUGAGUCCAUCACCACCCUCAUGGACCUGAAGAACACAGGCCUAGUAUGUCUCAUGAGGAAAGUAACACACCUACCUGGGCCUAAGGGAGGCCCCAGUCCCAGGAAAUUGCGCUACCUGAAUGAGACCCCUGUAACUGUACAUUUGCUACCCAGAGGAGCCUGAUGGACAAGACAGAGGAAAGUGCGUGGAGAUGAACGGGAUAGGAAAUGGAAUAACAUAAACUUUGUGCAGUCCUAUCUCACUAUGUGAGUUCCACAUGCAUCACCAGGAAAGUCAGGAAGAUUAAUGCUUGUUCCAGAAACGGGAUUGCUCCCUCAGAGCACCCUUCUGGGCACCAAUAUCUGAAUAGUAAUGGUUAGUUUGGGCCUACCAGUUUGCCAAAUUUUGUAUGAAAACUACUGUUGUUAGCUGAAAGGUAACCUCCAAUGAUAUAUUCAUAUUCUAAUCUCUGGGACCCGUGAAUGUUACUUUACAGGGCAAAAUAGUGCAUACUAUCUUAUAUGUGAUAUGAUUAAAUUAAGGAUCUUGCAAGGAGGAAUUACCCUGGAUUAUUUGGUUGGGCUCUUUUUUAGCCAUUUCAGAUUGCUGUAACAAAGUAUUGUAGACUGGGUGACUUAUAAAUAACAAAUUUAUUUCUCACAGUCCUGGAAGAUGGAAGUCCAAGAUCAGCAUGCUACCAUGGCCGGGUUCCGAUGAGGUUGUGGACCUCUUCCAGGUUCUAGACAGCUGACUGCUCCUUGUGCUCUCACAUGGUAGAAAGAGACUGGUAGAGCUCUCUAGAGUCACAGACUCCAUAAUGGCACAAACUCAUUUAGCAGAGCUCCACCCUCAUGACCUAAUCACCUCCAAAGGCCACAACUUCUAAUACCAUCAUAUUGACAGUUAGGAUUUCAAGAUAGGAAUUUCGAGAGGAAACAAACAUUCAGUCCAUUGCAGGCCCUAAAUAAAAUCACAUGUAUCAAGAUGGGCAGGGGGAGUUUGGAGACAGAUGUCCAGAAGAAGAAGAGGAAGGAAUGAGGAAGCAGAGAUUGGAGCAAUGCAGCCACAAGCAAAGAAACAUCUGCAAACACUGAAGGAAGGAAGAAGAAAGCUGAGGCUGAAAGAGGCAAGAAAGAGAUCCUCCCCUACAGUGUCUAAAGGGAGUGUAGCCCUGCCAACACUUUGAUUUCAGACUUCUGGACUCCAGAAAUUGGAGCAAAUGAAUUUUUGUUGUUUUAAUCCACCUAGCUUGUGUUAAUUUACUACAGUCAUCCUAGGAAACUAAAACAAGUAUGCACAGGAGUUUUUGCUCAGGACUCAUGAAAAACUACAGGCUCCUGAAGGAGGCAUGAGCCUGUCCUUUGGACAAUCUCUAUGCAGUGGCCACCACAAAUAGUAGCACCCCUCUCCUAUAAAGUGUGUCUGCGGGUUAUGAGGCAAACUCCAGUUGCUCCUCUUUCAGGAUCCAUGGGAUCACCUUUUCCUGGAGAAUGAAGAAUGUCUUGAAAUCAUGAGCACCAGAAUUCUCUCAUUCCUGGAGGCCCUUGAAAGGCUGAUCCUUCUCUGUGUCCUUUAGUAUCUUUGUCCCACUCCUGUCUGCUCUAAGAUGUGGUCAUUUUGAUGCUGGCCCCUUAAACUCUGCAGCUGUGGAUGUCUAUGCCCAAUUCUGGGUCUUUCAUAACAGCAUCUUUAUCAAUUACAUGCACUAAGGGUCUGUUUCCCACCCAUGUCUGCAAUCAGUUGAUUUCAACCUCCCUCCUACCAAGAGUGGCUUCUCUUCCUACAUUUGUUAACCCAGGAUCUCAGUGGGUCUCUCUGUUCCUAUCCAUGAUGUGGUCUGUGUCAGAGGUCUCAGCUGGAGAGUGCCAACGGGAAGAAUGACAGGAAGUACUCAUGAAUGAUGAGAUAACUUGUGGAGUGGGGCUGGAAAUGGAUACACACACCCGCACAUGCACACACACCCCUCCCAUGCUACAUUUGGCAGAUAGAUAGUCCAGUUAAAACUUCUUGCAUAAUACUAACCUCCCCUUCCUGCUUCUGACCCCUCCCAUUAGAAGGAAUAUUUUAUAAUGCAACCACUAAAUCUUCCAGUAGCAGCAGAGGCAAGGCACAAUUUCAAGUACAUUCCAGAGCUGACACCCAGGCAAUGACGCUGUGGGGAGUGGAGUAUCCUGCCUCUGGGUGCUGAGCUCCCUGACACUGUCAGCAUGCAGGUAGGUUCAGGAGCAUCUUCUAUGUGACAGCUACAGAGCAGCGGAUGUUUCUACUUGGCAAAAGUAAAGACAAUUUUAUUUCAAUCAAAAUCUUACAGGGAACACAAAUACAUAGAAGAGGUUAAAGAACAAUUUCAUCAAAAAGUAAUUGUUUAAUUCAAAUUUAUUCCUUUACACGAGACAGAGUGCUCUAAUAAACAUAAAAAUUUUGGAAAUCCAGUCAUUGAUGAUAACUAUAGUCUCAUGUAAACCCUCGAAUUCAGUUUACCUUUUCAUAUUGGGUUUGGGUUGCACAAUGUCAGAAUACUGAGUGACGUGCAUAUAUACUUACAAAUGACAGCCAGGGGCAAUGUGCAGUCUGCCAUCUUAUUAGUACAACUAUGCAUUUAGACUCAUCAUAGGCCACACUUAGCCCUGGACUCAUUUAGAAGGAUAGAAAGAUAGGAGAGGGAACACAGCCUGCCAUUAGGACAGCACCAAACAUUGUUCUGCAGUGAGAGGAGGCCUGACAGGAGUCACACAGCAGUCUAGGGGCUGCUCUCUGCCCCUCCAGGGAAACUUCAGGUGUGACCGAGUUAGACCUACACAAGUAGGUACAGUAAUGGCUUAGAACUGACCCUGGCUUAAAAUUCCCUCAUUCCUGAUAGGAACCAAUAUAUGUUAUGACAAUAGCUCCAUAGGCAAAGUUUCCAGGUCUCCACAAGGGACAUAUGAGACACAAGAAUCACCGCACUUCAGAAAGUCCAAAACUAUGGUUCCAAAACUGAUAUUUUACUUGAUUCUGUCCUCCCAGUUUGAAGCAGUUCAUGAUUCAAUCACAGGUCAUUUUUAUAAGCAAUAUUGCUCAUGAACACUGCUGGAUUUCCACCCUGAUCAGGGUUCCAGGCAAACAGAACUAGAAAGUUAACCCAAGGUCAAAUUUCAUGAAUAGGAGAAAGGGUUUUGCUAACGCUUUAUUCACACAGUAUCAUUUCCAAAACUCUUCUGGUAUCAAGCUGUUCUAAAAAAGAAAAAAAAGAAUCCAAGCUUAAAAUAAAUUGAAAAUGACAUAUGACACGAUAUAAACAUGCUUCUAAUGUUAUGGUUUCACUUGACUGUUCGGAUCACGACAAACACAGGAACUGGCAGGCAUGGAGUGGACUUGCCGUAGCCUUGUGUGGUAUUUAAGUGAGCUCAGCCUGAGUUCAUAGCACUGAACUGACUUGAACCACAGAUAGGGAAUGGAAUUUACAAUGCUGAAUUUAUAAAGUCACCAGUGUAAUGAUGAACUUUCUGGUACACUUUUUUGGAAAUUCAAAUGCACAGAUAAAUCUGUGGGGGUAAUUUUGUUCUCUUCACCUCGUUUCCUUCUGGAACCAGACAACAACACUUCUUGAACUUCCUAGGACCGUGUAACCCUUGAGCCAAUUAUUGUGUCACUGCCUCUCACUGUCCUCAUGUCUUCACUUUUUUCCUGCAUACUUAGAUGGUGAGGCUAAUUAUUAUAAUCACUCUUUUGCAAUUUCCACUUCCUUUAAUAAUUCCCUCCCUCUUUUAAGUGUCCUGGGGGUCAAAAAUUUCAACCGUGUCAAAAUUCUACUCUCAAUUUACUCUUUACCCGCACCUCAAAAACUGGCCUUGCUUAUAGAAAAAUACACAAUCAUGAUGCCUCUCUCACUGUAAAUUAAUGACUUCUAACAUCAAGUAACCCCAAGUGCUACCCAGUAAUCCUGCUGCGUUUUCUCUCCCUUACUCUGCCAUGCCUCCAGAUAAUAACUAACUUUAAACCUUAUCCUCUUUCCUUAAGCCUUCCACACUUUCCAGUCUUCACUCUUGCCUAAAGAUCUUGCUUUUUACUUCGCUGCAAAAUUGAAAACGAUCAGAAAAUAACUUCCUUUCUCACAACCAAAUGUCCCAAUUUGCCUCCAUCAGUGACCACAAACUCUGGCCUUCCUCCUCUUUUCGUGGAUGAACUGUCUGUGUUCUCUUCUAAGGCCAAACAAGUUACUCAUGUUCUCAAUCUUACCCUCCUCUCAGUGACUCAAGGAUAUCUCUUCAGCAAGUAACUCAGUUUGCUUUACCAGUUUUCUUUCUCUAUUUCAUCCUUCUCAACUGGACGCAGACAUGGUAUAAGAUAUCUCAUCUGAAAAAUAAUGUACCCUCCACCCAGUAACUCUUCAGCUAUCCCCCAUUUCUAUGAUCACUGUCCCCAAAGAGCAAAAUCCCCUGAGUGGUAUCUUCUCAUACACUAUGGCAGAAAUCGGGCUUCAUUUCCAGCACCAUUUCUUUUCCUUGGGAGCACAGGAAGCAGUAUUUCUCAGAAUCCUUUGCAGUUUUGUUGGGUUGGGACUAAGUGAUCUGGCUCUAGGAAUGCAAAUGUGAGCAAAAGUGAUGUAACACAUUCCAUCCAUGGCCAUUAGGUAUCUCUAGUGCCUAAUCCAUCCUUUUUUAUCUCCCACCUGAGUGUAAGAACCACAUGUGUGAAAGCGGAACUAUCAGAUAGGUUUGCCUUAGCAGGAGCUGUGGAGAAGAAGGAGUCAUAGAGAAAGGCUUUUCAUCAGUCAUGGACCUAAAAGCGUGCUCUGUAAUGGUGGACUUCAGACAGAGAUAGAGAGAUCCUAGAUGAGUCAUCCUGGGAUGCAGGAUGCAGUUGCUUCUUUUGUUUUGAGAAUGCUUGGCUGCUUGCUCCAUUCCUACUCAUCAGUAGAAGCUUGUCUUAGUGUUUCAUUUUCAAGGACCUCUUGAUAUAAACUACGGUUUGAAGGACAUUCCGUUCCUAAGUGGGACAGGAGCAGAGCCUGGGCUGCCAUGACCAGUUCUGACAUAUCUCAGGUUGCUGCAUUACCAGAGCAUUCCAAAGUUAUUCCUGAGAACUACAAGUGAGAAAGGUUGGAAAACUGGGUCAGUUCAAGGCCUCCCAAAGAACCAUCCUGCAGCUAUCACGAGAUAUGUCUGUCUGUCUGUCUCUUAAGUAGAGAAGGCAGAGAUUAAAAAUAAAAAAGAUUGGAACAACAAAGAUAUAGGGAAAAAUAAUUUUGGAAGCUACCUUUGUGAAAUCUGUAGAAAGAUGUAGAGAAGAGGAGCUGGUAACAGCCAUGUCUGGACUCCCGGUCACCCUAUUACCACAACCUGUUACCCCAACCCCAUCACUUCACAUAAGAAGCAAAGUUCAUGCUAGCCUAGUAGCCCAUUUCCUCCAAGACAAUUCCCAUCAAGCCUGGCCAGGUGGCUCAGCCCAGACCGAAGCAUGGAGGAUGUGCAGUGUGAAAAAGCACAGACUGAGAUGACCAUGCAGAAAAGAUUUGUAUAAGAAAGCUGGGGCCACCCCUGUAGCCUUGUUUUUAUAAUACUUUCCUGUGUCAAAAAAAUUAAUGAAGUUAAUUUAGAAUGAGAAAUGAUACAUAAUGCCUAUAGGUAUCUCUGAGAAGAUUGCUACAGAGACUAAGAGGAUCAUAGACCUUCCUUCUGGAAUGUUCCUGUUCCUAUCUGUAGGAUGAAUGAGUGGAAUCAGUGACUCAGACAAAGCCACUGUUGCACAACUGUAUGCAUGCACAGUGAACUCUGCAGACUCUGCAGAUGGUUCCUGUAAAUAGCGCUUAAAACCACAGUGGAAAAGCCACAUGCUCCUGAUACACUUGGGGGGACAUAAAGGGAAACCCACACACCCAAGGAGGAGGGCUCUGGCCAUGCAAGGCUGAAGGCCCAGUGUACUGAUAUGAAAACUGAAGCUCAGACAGAAGAGGCGACGUUGCUUUCUUAACCACUGGAUUUGCAGUGCUGUGGUUCUCAGAAGAGGCCAGGACAGGUUAAUCCACUCACUUGGGAGGCAGCCGGUGCAGAGCUGAGAAUUUACCCCAGGCUACCAGCCUUCCGGCUGAGAGAGCAAGCUGACGCACGGUUCCUCAGCUGUCCCAUGGAGCCUGUUGCGGCCAUCCACCUCCUUCAAAGGGUUGAAUGUACAGCUGGUAUAAAAAUGGUGCUUUGUCGUCAUGAAGAAGGUGUAUUCUGGGAUCAAACCACCUGGCUGGAGAUGCUUACUAACCUCAGUUUCUUCAUCUGACCUUACCUUUCUAAAAGAAUAAGAAGAAGAUGAUACAUAUUCCUCUAAAGUCCCAACAGGAACCUUUUCCCCUCACUCCCUCCCCAGAGAUGUGUAUCAUUUCCAUGAGUGUCUGUACUUUUACAACAUGUGCAUAUUAAUAAACAAAAUAUGACAAAUUAUUUUGUCUUAAUAUUUGCAUAAAUCUAGCCAUACUCUACACCACUUUUGCAACUUUCACUAUUAUAUAUUUUGAAGAUUAUCCGUGUUUAUGCACAUAAGUUUAUCAUUUUAACUGUUGAAUAGUGUUUCAUUAUAUGAAUUAACCAUAAUUCAUCUAUUUCCCUGAGUGACAAUUAGGUUUCUUUUUGUUUUUAUGCUCUGAUGAACAAUCUUGCAAUUAUUAUCUUUGUAUAUGUCUUCAUGUAUAAGAAAUUCUCCAGGGUAGACACUUAGAAGUAAAGGGUCUGACUCAGAGAGUCUGUGUAUUUUAAAAUGUAUUGGUUAUUGUCAAAUUGUUCCUCAAAGUAGAU